rnacentral:rRNA from 1 species
UACGUAGGGUGCGAGCGUUAAUCGGAAUUACUGGGCGUAAAGCGUGCGCAGGCGGUUUUGUAAGCCAGAUGUGAAAGCCCCCGGGCUUAACCUGGGAAUGGCAUUUGGGACUGCAAGGCUUGAGUGCGGCAGAGGAGACUGGAAUUCCCGGUGUAGCGGUGAAAUGCGCAGAUAUCAGGAGGAACACCGGUGGCGAAGGCGGGUCUCUGGGCCGAUACUGACGCUGAGGAGCGAAAGCGUGGGGAGCGAACAGG